rnacentral:rRNA from 2 species
CGUAACAAGGUAUCCGUAGGUGAACCUGCGGAUGGAUCAUUUU